UUUCCGUAGGUGAACCUGCGGAAGGAUCAUUAAUAAAUUUUUUUUUGAAAUAAAAAAAAAAUAAUAAUCAUCCUACCCUUUGUGAAUUUGUUUUGUUGAAUAAUUUUUUAAAAUUAUUUAUUGUCUAUCCAAGUUGGAAAGUUGUAAAGAGACUCGAAGACUUGGAGCGGUAUAAAUAAAUUUAAAGACUUUUUUCUAAAAUUAAACUUUUUGUAUUCAUUUGUCUAAAAUAAUUUUUAUAAUAUAUAAAAACAACUUUUGACAAUGGAUCUCUUGGUUCUCGCAACGAUGAAGAACGCAGCAAAAUGCGAUAAGUAAUGUGAAUUGCUGAAUACGUGAAUCAUCGAAUCUUCGAACGCAUAUUGCACUUUUUUAGUUUACUAAAAAAGUAUGUCUGUUUGAGUAUCAGUAAAAUAUUCUCAUAAAAUUUUUUAAUUUUAUGGUUAUGAGUGUUUUACAACGAUAAACAAGUUGUUUCACCUUAAAUUGAAUUUUUUUGAAGAAAUUCUUUAAUUCAAAUUAAAUUUGGAUAAAAUUUUCCCGUAAAAAGGAAUAACUAUACAAGUUUAAUAAGAAUUUAGUGAUUUCUUUUAUGAAAAGGAAAUUUAUUAAAUAACUUGGUCUCAAAUCAGAUAAGAGUACCCGCUGAACUUAAGCAUAUCAAUAAGCGGAGGAAAAGAAACUAACAAGGAUUCCCCUAGUAACGGCGAGUGAAGCGGGAAGAGCUCAAAUUUGAAAUCUUAAAGGGUUUCCCUUUACGAAUUGUAGUUUAAAGAAGUGUUUUCUGUUGAGGUUUUGGUAAAAGUUCUUUGGAAUAGGACAUCAUAGAGGGUGAGAAUCCCGUAUUUGACCUUUACUUUCAACUUUGUGAUACACUUUCAAAGAGUCGGAUUGUUUGGGAAUGCAGUCCAAAAUGGGUGGUAAAUUUCAUCUAAAGCUAAAUAUUGGCGAGAGACCGAUAGCGAACAAGUACCGUGAGGGAAAGAUGAAAAGAACUUUGAAAAGAGAGUUAAACAGUACGUGAAAUUGUCAAAAGGGAAGCGUUUGACACCAGUGUUGUUUUUCUGAAAAUCAAUUAAAGAACUGUUUAUGCUAAGUUGUUUAGACUUUAUCAGCUAACUGUUUAGUUUUGAGCUUUUCUUUAAUGCACUUUUCAGUUAACAAGUCAACAUCAAUCUCUUUUGCUGUAAAAAAGCUUGAGGAAGGUGGCUUGAGAUUCGUCUUAAGUGUUUAUAGCCUCUUGCCUAUGCAGUCGGAGAGAUUGAGGUCUGCAGCGUAGAUCCUUCGGGGCUAAAUGCAUUUGUGCUAAGUUAUAGCAUUUUAUAGACAACUUGUUGACUAUGAUUUGUCUUGUAGCUUACUCGCUUAUGUUAUUUUACCUACGCUUAGGAUGUUG
rnacentral:misc_RNA from 1 species